rnacentral:rRNA from 1 species
GACGAACGCUGGCGGCGUGCUUAACACAUGCAAGUCGAACGGAAAGGCCCGGAUCUUGCGGGGCGCUCGAGAGGCGAAGGGGGGAGUAAAACGCGAGUAACCUGCACUUGACUGUGGGAUAACUCCAGGAAAAAGGGGCUAAAACAGGAUAGAAGAUCUUGAUGCACGGGGGGGGAUGGAAAGAUUCGGCGGUGGGGGAUGGAAUCGAGGCUUAUCAGCUUGUUGGGGGGGUAGGGGCUGCCCAGGGCUUUGACGGGUAGCCGGCCUGAGCGCUUGGCCGGCCACAUUGGGCCUGAGGUACGCCCCAGACUCCUACGGGAGGCAGCAGUGGGGAAUAUUGCGCAAUGGGCGCAAGCCUGAUGCAGCAACCCCGCGUGCGUAAUGACGGCCUUCGGGUUGUAAACCUCUUUCGCCUGUGACGAAGCCUGAGUGACGGUAAUGGGUAAGAAAGCACCGGCUAACUACGUG